GGGGAAUCUUCCGCAAUGGGCGAAAGCCUGACGGAGCAACGCCGCGUGAGCGAAGACGGCCUUCGGGUUGUAAAGCUCUGUUAUACGGGACGAACGGGGCAGAGGUUAAUACCCUUUGUCAAUGACGGUACCGUAAGAGAAAGCCACGGCUAACUACGUGCCAGCAGCCGCGGUAAUACGUAGGUGGCAAGCGUUGUCCGGAAUUAUUGGGCGUAAAGGGCGCGCAGGCGGUUUCAUAAGUCUGUCUUAAAAGUGCGGGGCUUAACCCCGUGAGGGGACGGAAACUGUGAGACUGGAGUGUCGGAGAGGAAAGCGGAAUUCCUAGUGUAGCGGUGAAAUGCGUAGAUAUUAGGAGGAACACCAGUGGCGAAAGCGGCUUUCUGGACGACAACUGACGCUGAGGCGCGAAAGCCAGGGGAGCGAACG
rnacentral:rRNA from 1 species